AUUGAACGCUGGCGGCAGGCCUAACACAUGCAAGUCGAGCGGAUGAAGGGAGCUUGCUCCUGGAAUUAGCGGCGGACGGGUGUGUAAUGCCUAGGAAUCUGCCUGGUAGUGGGGGAUAACGUCCGGAAACGGGCGCUAAUACCGCAUACGUCCUGAGGGAGAAAGUGGGGGAUCUUCGGACCUCACGCUAUCAGAUGAGCCUAGGUCGGAUUAGCUAGUUGGUGGGGUAAAGGCCUACCAAGGCGACGAUCCGUAACUGGUCUGAGAGGAUGAUCAGUCACACUGGAACUGAGACACGGUCCAGACUCCUACGGGAGGCAGCAGUGGGGAAUAUUGGACAGUGGGCGAAAGCCUGAUCCAGCCAUGCCGCGUGUGUGAAGAAGGUCUUCGGAUUGUAAAGCACUUUAAGUUGGGAGGAAGGGCAGUAAGUUAAUACCUUGCUGUUUUGACGUUACCAACAGAAUAAGCACCGGCUAACUUCGUG
rnacentral:rRNA from 1 species